AACAUCCCCAAUGGCAAGUUCUACCUAGGAGGUGCUGGCUAUGCAUGUCGGCCAAGUAUUCUUCCACCCUUCAGGAAAACCAGGUACCAUCCAAACGAGUUCGCUGGUAGGAACUAUCCUAGAACUCCACAGGAGUUGUUCAAUCUCAAACACUCCAGCCUUAGAGUUACUGUUGAGAGGGCCUUUGGAGCUCUGAAGAACAGGUUUAAGAUCCUAGAUUAGAAGCCACACACUUUCCCCACUUAGGUUAAGCUUGUUCUUACUUGUUGCAUUCUGCAUAACUGGAUCCUGCAAUGGGAUGUUGAUGAACUGGUGCCUAAGGAGAAAGAUGUGAUGCCUGACGAUGUUGUCAGCUCCGGCCAUGGUGCCAUGGUGUGGAGGCAUUCGACAACGCCUGGAAGAACAAAAGGAUGGAGUGGGCACAGGCAAUGUGAGAUAACAAAGGUCAGACAAGUAUUUGAAGAAGAAGAAGAAGAAGAAGAAUAG
rnacentral:rRNA from 1 species